rnacentral:lncRNA from 1 species
UGAUCUGUCCGCCUCAACUUCCCAAAGUGCUGGGAUUACAGGCAGGAGCCACCGCGCCCGGCAUACUCGCACAUUCUUAAGUCCCUACUCUUUCCUGGCAUUCCUCCCUUACCUAGAAUGGGUUUCUCAUCACCAAAAGCAUCCUACCCACUGUUCAAGGUCAAAUUCAAAUGUCAACUCCUGGGUGUCCCCAGCCAGAAAUGAUUCCCUUCUCAUUUGUUCUUCUAAGAUAACUAUUUUCUUGCCAUUUAAUUAUUCUUCACUCAGUAAACAUCUAUUGAGCACCAAAUAUGUGCCAGGUUCACUUAUCCAUCCUCUCACUCCGUAUGCUAUUUUUUUUUCUUCUUUUUUUUUUUGAGACAGAGUUUCUUUUUUGUUGCCCAGCCUUGAGUGCAAUGGUGCAAUCUCGGCUCACUGCAACUUCUGCCUCCCGGAUUCAAGCGAUUCUCUCGUCUUAGCCUCCCGAGUAGCUGGGACUACAGGCACGUGCCACCAUGCCUGGCUAAUUUUUGUAUUUUUAGUAGAGACAGGGUUUCACCAUGUUGGCCAGGCUGGUCUCAAGCUCCUGACCUCAGGUGAUUCACCUACC